rnacentral:lncRNA from 1 species
ACUGAGGAGGCAGCCCUGCCACACAAUGGUUCUUUAUAAGCCAGUAGAGACUUGCCGUGUAAAAAUGCCAUCAGUCUUUGAAGAUGAAGACUUAACCGCCCAGGUUAAUUUCCCUAAAAUGUCCCAGAGUAAUAAGUUUAAUUAUCAGAUGGAUACUUAAAAUUCUAACACCUUUCCUUAUUGUACCUAGAAUUUUUCAGAGCACGGACAGUAUUAAUUCAUCUUCGUGGUAUUGUGUAUGGUCUUUACAGGUCUGUUAAACUAAAUUAUAAUUUAAAAAUCAGGUUUCUAUGACUUUGUUCUUAACCCCCGUCCCCUCACUGGGCCAUACUGACAGUCACUCAUUCAUUUAAUUCAGCCUUGAUAAAUAUGCUGUGAUGCCCAAUUAUCCUCUCUUCUGGUGUUUAUUCUGCAGACACUAACUGACCCCUGUUUUGUACCAGGCCCUGAACUAGCUGUAAAGGCAGAAGUAAAUGAGACAUGGUUCUUGCCCACAAGGGGCUCAUGGUCUACAGACCGUGUAUAUAGUAAUUGCA